GUUCUGUAACAAGGAUAUAGUCCGAAGCUAACAGUGGAUACUGGAAUUGCAGGAAUGCUUAUAGCUUCUGCCUAAUAUCUAGAAAGCUGGAAAUGUUUUAACUUUGCUAACAACAAGAAAAAAUAAUGAACAAAAUCAUAAUUUGUCUUGAACCACCCCCCAACUCGAGAACUGAGGUAAGGCACCAAAAUAGCCUGAAAUUCUAAGGAAAAAUAGGCACCUUCAAGAGGAGAGAAGAUGAAAAGCCCUGACUUACCUGUGGCAAAGCAUAAGGGGAACGAAAGCCCACCAUACCAGCAGCAAGUGCCAAAUAACAAGUACCAAGACAACAACAGAAGUCUACUUUUGGGGAAGAGGCAAAAGCAUGGAGAACUCUGAGGUACACAUUUGUAGAGAAGGCAUAAAGUUAAGGAAGAAGCAGGACAUUGAGGAAAAACCCUCUGGGAACCAAAUCCCACCUUAGGCACUAGGUAAAUCUUGUGCAAUUUUAAACCUGUGGUACACAGAACAUAAACAUAGCAACAGCAAAAGACAAAUCUUGCUCAAUUCCUGACUAUAUUGACUCAAACCUCUACAAGCAAACAGUAGAAAUGUCAUUUCCAGUAAUAAAUAGUACUUAUUACUAUUUAUCUCCAUUUCUACUGUCCUACCUUCUCUGUCCAGCAAGAAAUUAAAAAGUACAAGAUACAAAAAAGCCAAAAAAAUAAUAAUUUAAACCCAUUUUCAAGAGACAAGGCAAUCAAUAGAACCAGAUUUGGAGAUGCCAAUGAUGUUGGAUCAGAUAGGAAAUUUUAAAUAAUUAUGAUUAAAAUGUUAGCCUUUAAUGGAAAAGGUAGGGAACACGCGUGGACAGAUAAGGAAAAUCAGCAGAGGCCGGGCAUUACGGUAGCUCACACCUGUAAUCCCUGCACUUU